GGAUGGGUGGCCGAGCGGUUUAAGGCACCGGUCUUGAAAACCGGCGUAGGUGCAAGCUUACCGUGGGUUCGAAUCCCACCCCAUCCGCCA
rnacentral:tRNA from 1 species